AACGAACGCUGGCGGCAGGCCUAACACAUGCAAGUCGAGCGAGACCUUCGGGUCUAGCGGCGGACGGGUGAGUAACGCGUGGGAACGUGCCCUUUGGUACGGAAUAGCCCCGGGAAACUGGGAGUAAUACCGUAUAAGCUCUUCGGAGGAAAAGAUUUAUCGCCAAAGGAUCGGCCCGCGUUGGAUUAGGUAGUUGGUGGGGUAAUGGCCUACCAAGCCGACGAUCUGUAGCUGGUCUGAGAGGACGACCAGCCACACUGGGACUGAGACACGGCCCAGACUCCUACGGGAGGCAGCAGUGGGGAAUUUUGGACAAUGGGCGCAAGCCUGAUCCAGCCAUGCCGCGUGCGGGAAGAAGGCCUUCGGGUUGUAAACCGCUUUUGUCAGGGAAGAAAUCCUUUGGGCUAAUACCCCGGGGGAUGACGGUACCUGAAGAAUAAGCACCGGCUAACUACGUG
rnacentral:rRNA from 1 species